GGGUUUGUUGCAGGUAGGUCUUGCUUGACCAAUCUUGUUACCUUUUAUGACCAGGUGACCUAUCACCAGGACAAGGGGGAAGAGUUUGAUAUCAUAUAUCUUCACUU